rnacentral:rRNA from 1 species
AACGAACGCUGGCGGCAGGCCUAACACAUGCAAGUCGAACGCCGUAGCAAUACGGAGUGGCAGACGGGUGAGUAACGCGUGGGAACCUACCUUACGGUCGGGAAUAGCUCAGGGAAACUUGGGGGUAAUACCGGAUACGCCCUUACGGGGAAGAUUUAUCGCCGUUAGAUGGGCCCGCGUAGGAUUAGCUAGUUGGUGAGGUAAUGGCUCACCAAGGCGACGAUCCUUAGCUGGUCUGAGAGGAUGAUCAGCCACACUGGGACUGAGACACGGCCCAGACUCCUACGGGAGGUAGCAGUGGGGAAUAUUGGACAAUGGGCGCAAGCCUGAUCCAGCCAUGCCGCGUGAGUGACGAAGGCCUUAGGGUUGUAAAGGCUCUUUUGGCGGGGAAGAUAAUGACGGUACCGCAGAAUAAGCUCCGGCUAACUUCGUGCCAGCAGCCGCGGUAAU